UAUGCCUCUCCAUCUUUUUAAUCAUUUUCUGUUAUGAUGACUCUUUGAGGUCUAAUAAUCAGGUUAAAAUCUUACUUGCAUGCCUUCUGAGCAGCCCUUUAUAGCAGUUUUGGCUUGAAACAGACAUAUCAUCAAGACAUCAACAUAAAAUCAGGAACUAAAACACUAGAGAGAUUCGGCAUUUUAAAUGGUUGCCAAUGUACACUUGUGGCAGGCUAAAAUGGUCUGUUUUCAAUGUUGACAUUAGUGUUUGCAUUUUAUUUCUUAUGUGUCUUUCUUUUUAAAUACCGAUAUGUAACAUCUUAUGCUAGUUAUCCAAUGAUGGUUUGUUUAUCUGUCCAUUUGAUUGCAAUAAACUAGUGGGAAGUUGAAAGCAUCUGCUGCUUUUGCCA